rnacentral:rRNA from 1 species
AGUGAACGCUGGCGGUAGGCCUAGCACAUGCAAGUCGAACGGCAGCACAGUAAGAGCUUGCUCUUACGGGUGGCGAGUGGCGGACGGGUGAGGAAUACAUCGGAAUCUACUUUUUCGUGGGGGAUAACGUAGGGAAACUUACGCUAAUACCGCAUACGACCUACGGGUGAAAGCAGGGGAUCUUCGGACCUUGCGCGAUUGAAUGAGCCGAUGUCGGAUUAGCUAGUUGGCGGGGUAAAGGCCCACCAAGGCGACGAUCCGUAGCUGGUCUGAGAGGAUGAUCAGCCACACUGGAACUGAGACACGGUCCAGACUCCUACGGGAGGCAGCAGUGGGGAAUAUUGGACAAUGGGCGCAAGCCUGAUCCAGCCAUACCGCGUGGGUGAAGAAGGCCUUCGGGUUGUAAAGCCCUUUUGUUGGGAAAGAAAAGCAGCAGGUUAAUACCCCGCUGUUCUGACGGUACCCAAAGAAUAAGCACCGGCUAACUUCGUA